AGCCUUCUGUAUCUGUGCUGAGAUUUCUUCACACAUCAAACAAGGGCUGAUGAGACUCCCAAGAUAAGUGAGGCA
rfam:Schistosoma margrebowiei strain Zambia genome assembly, scaffold: SMRZ_scaffold0005284